rnacentral:rRNA from 1 species
ACAUGAAGCUGGAAUCGCUAGUAAUCGCGAAUCAGCAUGUCGCGGUGAAUACGUUCCCGGGUCUUGUACACACCGCCCGUCACACCAUGGGAGUCGGAAAUGCCCGAAGCCGGUGGCCUAACCGAUAAGGGAGGAGCCGUCGAAGGCAGGUCUGAUGACUGGGGUGAAGUCGUAACAAGGUAAC